AGCUUUAUAGUCAAUUAAUGAUAUAAAAUUGCAAAUUUUAAGGAGUAUAAUAAUAAAUUACUAAGGCUU
rnacentral:tRNA from 1 species